GUUACCUACGGGGGGCAGCAGUGGGGAAUAUUGCACAAUGGGGGAAACCCUGAUGCAGCGACGCCGCGUGAGCGAAGAAGUAUUUCGGUAUGUAAAGCUCUAUCAGCAGGGAAGAAAAUGAUGGUACCUGAGUAGGAAGCUCCGGCUAAAUACGUGCCAGCAGCCGCGGUAAUACGUAUGGAGCAAGCGUUAUCCGGAUUUACUGGGCGUAAAGGGAGCGUAUGCGGCCUGCCAAGUCUGCUGUGAAAUACCGUGGCUCAACCCCGGGGCUGCAUUGGAUGCUGGCAGGCUG
rnacentral:rRNA from 1 species